rnacentral:rRNA from 1 species
GACAGAGGAUGCAAACGUUGCUCGGAUUUACUGGGCGUAAAGCGCGCGCAGGCGGUCCUGUAAGUCGAGUGUGAAAUCCCGGGGCUCAACCUCGGACGUGCACUCGAUACUGCGGGACUGGGGUACUGGAGAGGAGAGCGGAAUUCCCGGUGUAGAGGUGAAAUUCGUAGAUAUCGGGAGGAACACCAGUGGCGAAGGCGGCUCUCUGGACAGAUACUGACGCUGAGGCGCGAAAGCGUGGGAAGCAAACAGG